CAGGGCCAGCUAAUAAAAAGACUGCUAAGUUAGUUAUCCUCCAAAAGAGAGACGGAAGACACUAAAGGAAUAUUCAUAACCAGAUGUGUUAUGAAGACCAAUGAGAAUUCUCCAUCCAUGUCACAAUUUGUAAAAGUAUAUUAUAGGUCAAGGUACGUUCUUCAAGACGCAGCUUUGGCUCACAAUGAACUGCAAGCUAUAAAGGGUCCUAAAAAUACUAGUGUAAAACCAUUCAAACAGGAUAAACGGAAUAAUCUAUAUAUAAAAAGGCGAGAAAAGAGAACCACAGCACCAUACAACAACCACUGAACAUCGAGUUCCUGACUUGGAAUAGGUACACACAAAAGCAGCAGGUUUAAACGUUUUAAUAGGUACCAACCGUCACAGUAGUGUAAUAUUUAUAAUUCUAAGACAAACAUAGAACGCCAUAAAAAAAAACACAAAAAAAAAACCGACCAAAAGGCAAUAGUAUACGGGACGGUAUUUUGGUAAAGACACUUGUAACAUAUCCAUCGUUAUCUAUACAAAAGAUUGUCUAUAAAUGUUAACCAACUUAGGGAUUCGUUCGUAAAAUUGUGGCAACUUUACCACAAGGAAUCAUCAACGCGCGGGGAGCAGGGGAUAUUCACUUCAUAUGCAAGAGCAGAAGUUAUUUUGCAACAUAUAAAUGGUAAAUUAACAAUUUGAAGUAAGUAAUCAAGCAACAUAACUUUCUCUGUAAGAGCCUUCUGCAAUUUAGGUAUCUAAUAAAGUGAACAAAAGUCAAAUUCUUCAUCUGUUCUUCUGUCACGGGGGUAUAUGUGAAAAAUCGAAAUAUAUUGUCAAUACCUAUAGCUAUUUCCUUUAUCAAGCAGUUUAUGUAAUGUGAUUUGUCUGCUUGGACAACAAUGUAUUUUUCAUGAAUUAACAAUUGUGUGUUAAAAGAUCUAGAUAGCACGUAUUUUCGUAUACCUCUUAUUGUUUAUAAUGCUAAAUUGUAUCAACGACAUCACAGCCUAAACACAGUUGGAGAGAAAAGAAAUUGCCAAUACAAUUGAGAAUGGAAAUGGGGAAAGUGUAAAAGAGACAACAACCCGAAAAAAAAGAGCAGAAAAUAGCCGAAGUACACCAAUGGGUCUUCAAUACAGCGAGAAAAUCCCCUUGGGACAGGCGCAAAAAAGCCGCGGGGUUAAACAUAUUUUUUUAUACCUCAACUACCCCCUAUACAUCAAGCCAAUGUAGAAAUACAUACACACAACAAUUCGCACAGUAAAAGUCAGUUUGAAAGAAGCCCAAGUCUGAUAUAAGAACAGGUAACAAAAGAAACUAAACAAAGUGACAAUGAUACAUAAAUGAACAUAGACUACUGGCAGUUACUGACAUCAAGCUCCAGACCUCAA
rnacentral:lncRNA from 1 species